rnacentral:tRNA from 2 species
GCGGGUAUGGUUCAAUGGUAGAACGUCAGCCUUCCAAGCUGAACACAGGGGUUCAAUUCCCCUUACCCGCUCCA